ACCAGAGUGGACGAACCUCUGGUGUACCGGUUGUGACGCCAGUCGCAUCGCCGGGUAGCUAUGUUCGGAAGGGAUAACCGCUGAAAGCAUCUAAGCGGGAAGCCUACCUCAAGAUAAGAUUUCCCUAGGACUUUAUGUCCUCUAAAGAGCCGUUCGAGACUAGGACGUUGAUAGGUUGGAUGUGGAAGCAUAGUGAUAUGUGAAGCUGACCAAUACUAAUUGCUCGUGAGGCUUGACUAUACAACACCCAAGCAGUUG
rnacentral:rRNA from 1 species